rnacentral:rRNA from 1 species
UACAGAGGUGGCAAGCGUUGUUCGGAUUUAUUGGGCGUAAAGGGUCUGUAGGCGGCCUGCUAAGUCGGAUGUGAAAUCCCGCAGCUUAACUGCGGAACUGCAUUCGAUACUAUCAGGCUAGAGUGUGAGAGGGGUAAAGGGAAUUCCCGGUGUAAGGGUGAAAUCUGCAGAGAUCGGGAGGAACACCAGUCGCGAAGGCGCUUUACUGGCUCACAACUGACGCUGAGGGACGAAAGCUAGGGGAGCAAACGGG